GAUGAACGCUGGCGGCGUGCCUAAUACAUGCAAGUCGAGCGAACGGACGAGAAGCUUGCUUCUCUGAUGUUAGCGGCGGACGGGUGAGUAACACGUGGAUAACCUACCUAUAAGACUGGGAUAACUUCGGGAAACCGGAGCUAAUACCGGAUAAUAUUUUGAACCGCAUGGUUCAAAAGUGAAAGACGGUCUUGCUGUCACUUAUAGAUGGAUCCGCGCUGCAUUAGCUAGUUGGUAAGGUAACGGCUUACCAAGGCAACGAUGCAUAGCCGACCUGAGAGGGUGAUCGGCCACACUGGAACUGAGACACGGUCCAGACUCCUACGGGAGGCAGCAGUAGGGAAUCUUCCGCAAUGGGCGAAAGCCUGACGGAGCAACGCCGCGUGAGUGAUGAAGGUCUUCGGAUCGUAAAACUCUGUUAUUAGGGAAGAACAUAUGUGUAAGUAACUGUGCACAUCUUGACGGUACCUAAUCAGAAAGCCACGGCUAACUACGUGCCAGCAGCCGCGGUAAUACGUAGGUGGCAAGCGUUAUCCGGAAUUAUUGGGCGUAAAGCGCGCGUAGGCGGUUUUUUAAGUCUGAUGUGAAAGCCCACGGCUCACCGUGGAGGGUCAUUGGAAACUGGAAAACUUGAGUGCAGAAGAGGAAAGUGGAAUUCCGUGUGUAGCGGUGAAAUGCGCAGAGAUAUGGAGGAACACCAGUGGCGAAGGCGACUUUCUGGUCUGUAACUGACGCUGAUGUGCGAAAGCGUGGGGAUCAAACAGGAUUAGAUACCCUGGUAGUCCACGCCGUAAACGAUGAGUGCUAAGUGUUAGGGGGUUUCCGCCCCUUAGUGCUGCAGCUAACGCAUUAAGCACUCCGCCUGGGGAGUACGACCGCAAGGUUGAAACUCAAAGGAAUUGACGGGGACCCGCACAAGCGGUGGAGCAUGUGGUUUAAUUCGAAGCAACGCGAAGAACCUUACCAAAUCUUGACAUCCUUUGACAACUCUAGAGAUAGAGCCUUCCCCUUCGGGGGACAAAGUGACAGGUGGUGCAUGGUUGUCGUCAGCUCGUGUCGUGAGAUGUUGGGUUAAGUCCCGCAACGAGCGCAACCCUUAAGCUUAGUUGCCAUCAUUAAGUUGGGCACUCUAAGUUGACUGCCGGUGACAAACCGGAGGAAGGUGGGGAUGACGUCAAAUCAUCAUGCCCCUUAUGAUUUGGGCUACACACGUGCUACAAUGGACAAUACAAAGGGCAGCGAAACCGCGAGGUCAAGCAAAUCCCAUAAAGUUGUUCUCAGUUCGGAUUGUAGUCUGCAACUCGACUACAUGAAGCUGGAAUCGCUAGUAAUCGUAGAUCAGCAUGCUACGGUGAAUACGUUCCCGGGUCU
rnacentral:rRNA from 1 species